rnacentral:pre_miRNA from 1 species
AGUGGGAUAGCUGGGUCAAAUGGUGGUUCCAUUCCCAGAUUUCCAAGGAAUCUCCAUACUGCUUUCCAUAUUGGCUGCACCAAUUUGAAUCCCCACCAGCAAU